rnacentral:rRNA from 1 species
AGAAUCAACGCUGGCGGCGUGCCUAACACAUGCAAGUCGAACGAGAAAGUGGAGCAAUCCAUGAGUAAAGUGGCGACCGGGUGAGUAACACGUGACUAACCUACCUUCGAGUGGGGGAUAACCCCGGGAAACCGGGGCUAAUACCGCAUAACAUCGCAAGAUCAAAGCAGCAAUGCGCUGGAAGAGGGGGUCGCGGCUGAUUAGCUAGUUGGCGGGUAACGCCCACAAGGCGAAGAUCGGUA